rnacentral:rRNA from 1 species
AACGGGUGAGGAACACGUGAGAAACCUGCCUUUCAUUCUGGGAUAACACCGGGAAACCGGUGCUAAUACCGGAUACUCCGUCUUGGCGGCAUCGCCGAGCCGGGAAAAAAUUUUGAUGAAAGAUGGUCUCGCGGCCUAUCAGCUAGUUGGUGAGGUAAUGGCUCACCAAGGCGACGACGGGUAGCCGGCCUGAGAGGGCGACCGGCCACACUGGGACUGAGACACGGCCCAGACUCCUACGGGAGGCAGCAGUAGGGAAUAUUGGGCAAUGGGCGUAAGCCUGACCCAGCGACGCCGCGUGAGGGAUGAAGGUCUUCGGAUUGUAAACCUCUUUCAGUAGGGAAGAAGCGAAAGUGACGGUACCUAAAGAAGAAGCACCGGCUAACUAUGUGCCAGCAGCCGCGGUAAUACAUAGGGUGCAAGCGUUGUCCGGAAUUAUUGGGCGUAAAGAGCUCGUAGGUCGUUUGUCACGUCGAUUGUGAAAAUCUGAGGCUCAACCUCAGACCUGCAGUCGAUACGGGCAAACUAGAGUGUGGUAGGGGAGACUGGAAUUCCUGGUGUAGCGGUGGAAUGCGCAGAUAUCAGGAGGAACACCAAUGGCGAAGGCAGGUCUCUGGGCCAUAACUGACACUGAGGAGCGAAAGCGCGGGGAGCGAACAGGAUUAGAUACCCUGGUAGUCCGCGCCGUAAACGGUGGGCACUAGCUGUGGGUCCCUUCCACGGGAUCCGCGACGCAGCAAACGCAUUAAGUGCCCCGCCUGGGGAGUACGAUCGCAAGAUUAAAACUCAAAGGAAUUGACGGGGCCCCGCACAAGCAGCGGAGCAUGCGGCUUAAUUCGACGCAACGCGAAGGACCUUACCAAGGCUUGACAUAUAGCGAAAAGUGGCAGAGAUGUCAUGUCCGCAAGGGCGCUAUACAGGUGGUGCAUGGUUGUCGUCAGCUCGUGUCGUGAGAUGUUGGGUUAAGUCCCGCAACGAGCGCAACCCUCGUUCUGUGUUACCAGCAUUUAGUUGGGGACUCACAGGAGACUGCCGGGGUCAACUCGGAGGAAGGUGGGGAUGACGUCAAAUCAUCAUGCCCCUUAUGUCUUGGGCUGCACGCAUGCUACAAUGGCCGGUACAAAGUGCUGCGAAAUCGUAAGAUUGAGCGAAUCACAUAAAGCCGUCUCAGUUCGGAUUGAGGUCUGCUAC